rnacentral:rRNA from 1 species
GACGAACGCUGGCGGCGUGCCUAACACAUGCAAGUCGAACGGAAAGGCCCUGCUUUUGUGGGGUUCUCGAGUGGGGAGCGGGUGAGUAACACGUGAGUAACCUGCCCUUGACUUUGGGAUAACUUCAGGAAACUGGGGCUAAUACAGGAUAGGAGCUCCUGCUGCAUGGUGGGGGUUGGAAAGUUUCGGCGGUUGGGGAUGGACUCGCGGCUUAUCAGCUGGUUGGUGGGGUAGUGGCUUACCAAGGCUUUGACGGGUAGCCGGCCUGAGAGGGGGACCGGCGACCUUGGGACUGCGAUACGGACCAGACGCGAAUGGGAGGCAGUGGUGGGGAGUCUUACACAGCGGGGGGAAGUGUGAUGCGACAACGCCGCGAGCGGGAAGCCCGGCUUCGGGUUGUGAACCGCUUUCGCCUGUGACGAAGCGUGAGUGACGGUACCGGGUAAAGAAGCACCGGCUAACUACGUG